UACGUAGGGUCCGAGCGUUUGUCCGGAAUUACUGGGCGUAAAGAGCUCGUAGGUGGUUUGUCGCGUUGUUCGUGAAAACUCACACUUAACUGUGGGCGUGCGGGCGAUACGGGCAGACUUGAGUACUGCAGGGGAGACUGGAAUUCUGGUGUAGCGGUGAAAAUGCGUAGAUAUCGGGAAGAACGCCAAGGGCGAAGGCACUCUGCUAGGCCUGAUUUCGUGACUGGACAACUCAGGGACGAGAGCCAGGGGAGCGAAUGGG
rnacentral:rRNA from 1 species